rnacentral:rRNA from 1 species
AGACCCGAAACCCGGUGAUCUAGCCAUGGGCAGGUUGAAGGUUGGGUAACACUAACUGGAGGACCGAACCGACUAAUGUUGAAAAAUUAGCGGAUGACCUGUGGCUGGGGGUGAAAGGCCAAUCAAACCGGGAGAUAGCUGGUUCUCCCCGAAAGCUAUUUAGGUAGCGCCUCGUGAAUUCAUCUCCGGGGGUAGAGCACUGUUUCGGCUAGGGGGCCAUCCCGGCUUACCAACCCGAUGCAAACUGCGAAUACCGGAGAAUGUUAUCACGGGAGACACACGGCGGGUGCUAACGUCCGUCGUGAAGAGGGAAACAACCCAGACCGCCAGCUAAGGUCCCAAAGUCAUGGUUAAGUGGGAAACGAUGUGGGAAGGCCCAGACAGCCAGGAUGUUGGCUUAGAAGCAGCCAUCAUUUAAAGAAAGCGUAAUAGCUCACUGGUCGAGUCGGCCUGCGCGGAAGAUGUAACGGGGCUAAACCAUGCACCGAAGCUGCGGCAGCGACACUCAGGUGUUGUUGGGUAGGGGAGCGUUCUGUAAGCCUGCGAAGGUGGCCUGUGAGGGUUGCUGGAGGUAUCAGAAGUGCGAAUGCUGACAUAAGUAACGAUAAAGCGGGUGAAAAGCCCGCUCGCCGGAAGACCAAGGGUUCCUGUCCAACGUUAAUCGGGGCAGGGUGAGUCGACCCCUAAGGCGAGGCCGAAAGGCGUAGUCGAUGGGAAACGGGUUAAUAUUCCCGUACUUGGUGUUACUGCGAAGGGGGGACGGAGAAGGCUAUGUUGGCCGGGCGACGGUUGUCCCGGUUUAAGCGUGUAGGUGUGUGUUCCAGGUAAAUCCGGUUCACUUUAACACUGAGGCGUGAUGACGAGGCACUACGGUGCUGAAGCAACAAAUGCCCUGCUUCCAGGAAAAGCCUCUAAGCAUCAGGUAACAUCAAAUCGUACCCCAAACCGACACAGGUGGUCAGGUAGAGAAUACCAAGGCGCUUGAGAGAACUCGGGUGAAGGAACUAGGCAAAAUGGUGCCGUAACUUCGGGAGAAGGCACGCUGACACGUAGGUGAAGUGAUUUACUCAUGGAGCUGAAGUCAGUCGAAGAUACCAGCUGGCUGCAACUGUUUAUUAAAAACACAGCACUGUGCAAACACGAAAGUGGACGUAUACGGUGUGACGCCUGCCCGGUGCCGGAAGGUUAAUUGAUGGGGUCAGCGCAAGCGAAGCUCCUGAUCGAAGCCCCGGUAAACGGCGGCCGUAACUAUAACGGUCCUAAGGUAGCGAAAUUCCUUGUCGGGUAAGUUCCGACCUGCACGAAUGGCGUAAUGAUGGCCAGGCUGUCUCCACCCGAGACUCAGUGAAAUUGAACUCGCUGUGAAGAUGCAGUGUACCCGCGGCAAGACGGAAAGACCCCGUGAACCUUUACUAUAGCUUGACACUGAACAUUGAGCCUUGAUGUGUAGGAUAGGUGGGAGGCUUUGAAGUGUGGACGCCAGUCUGCAUGGAGCCGACCUUGAAAUACCACCCUUUAAUGUUUGAUGUUCUAACGUGGACCCGUGAUCCGGGUUGCGGACAGUGUCUGGUGGGUAGUUUGACUGGGGCGGUCUCCUCCUAAAGAGUAACGGAGGAGCACGAAGGUUGGCUAAUCCUGGUCGGACAUCAGGAGGUUAGUGCAAUGGCAUAAGCCAGCUUGACUGCGAGCGUGACGGCGCGAGCAGGUGCGAAAGCAGGUCAUAGUGAUCCGGUGGUUCUGAAUGGAAGGGCCAUCGCUCAACGGAUAAAAGGUACUCCGGGGAUAACAGGCUGAUACCGCCCAAGAGUUCAUAUCGACGGCGGUGUUUGGCACCUCGAUGUCGGCUCAUCACAUCCUGGGGCUGAAGUAGGUCCCAAGGGUAUGGCUGUUCGCCAUUUAAAGUGGUACGCGAGCUGGGUUUAGAACGUCGUGAGACAGUUCGGUCCCUAUCUGCCGUGGGCGCUGGAGAACUGAGGGGGGCUGCUCCUAGUACGAGAGGACCGGAGUGGACGCAUCACUGGUGUUCGGGUUGUCAUGCCAAUGGCACUGCCCGGUAGCUAAAUGCGGAAGAGAUAAGUGCUGAAAGCAUCUAAGCACGAAACUUGCCCCGAGAUGAGUUC